AGAGUUUGAUCCUGGCUCAGGAUUAACGCUGGCGGUACGUCUAAUACAUGCAAGUCGAACGGAGCACAUGUGCUCAGUGGCGAACGGGUGAGUAACAUGUAGGUAACCUGCCCUUAAGACGAGGAUAACUCUGGGAAACUAGAGCUAAUACUGGAUUGGAAGCGACCUUGGCAUCAAGGAAGCUUGAAAGGUGCGAUAGCACCGCUUAAGGAGGGGCCUGCGGCGCAUUAGUUAGUUGGUGAGGUAACGGCUCACCAAGACAAUGAUGCGUAGCUGGACUGAGAGGUUGAACAGCCACACUGGGACUGAGAACGGCCCAGACUCCUACGGGAGGCAGCAGUAGAGAAUCUUCGGCAAUGGGGGGAACCCUGACCGAGCGAUACCGCGUGAUUGAAGAAAUACUUCGGUAUGUAAAGAUCUUUUACAAAGGAUGAAUGGCGUCAGUAGGAAAUGACUGACGAGUGACAGUACUUUAGGAAUAAGCCCCGGCUAACUAUGUGCCAGCAGCCGCGGUAAUACAUAGGGGGCAAGCGUUAUCCGGAAUUAUUGGGCGUAAAGGGUGCGUAGGCGGCUAGUUAAGUUCAAGGUCUAAAUUUAAGGCUCAACCUUAAAAUGCUUUGAAAACUGGCUAGCUUGAGAGAGGUAGAGGCAAGUGGAAUUCCAUGUGUAGCGGUAAAAUGCGUAAAUAUAUGGAGGAACACCAGUGGCGAAGGCGGCUUGCUGGGCCUUAUCUGACGCUGAUGCACGAAAGCGUGGGGAGCAAACAGGAUUAGAUACCCUGGUAGUCCACGCCGUAAACGAUGAGUACUAAGUGUCGGCAAAAGUCGGUGCUGCAGUUAACGCAUUAAGUACUCCGCCUGAGUAGUACGUGCGCAAGCAUAAAACUCAAAGGAAUUGGCGGGACCUCGCACAAGCGGUGGAUCAUGUUGUUUAAUUCGACGAUACGCGAAGAACCUUACCAGGCCUUGACAUACCGAGCGAUGCUAUGGAAACAUAGUGGAGGUUAACUGGGAUACAGGUGGUGCAUGGUUGUCGUCAGCUCGUGUCGUGAGAUGUUGGGUUAAGUCCCGCAACGAGCGCAACUCUUAUCGCUAUUUGCCAUCAUUAAGUUGGGGACUAUAGCGAGACUGCCAGUGACAAACUGGAGGAAGGUGGGAAUGACGUCAAAUCAUCAUGCCCCUUAUGGUCUGGGCUACAAACGUGAUACAAUGGUUGGUACAAAGGGAGGCGAAGCCGUGAGGCCAAGCGAACCCCAUAAAACCAAUCUCAGUUCGGAUUGAAGUCUGCAACUCGACUUCAUGAAGUCGGAAUCGCUAGUAAUCGUAGAUCAGAACGCUACGGUGAAUACAAUCUCGAGGUUUGCACUCACCGCCCGUCAA
rnacentral:rRNA from 1 species